rnacentral:rRNA from 1 species
UACAGAGGUCCCGAGCGUUGUUCGGAUUCACUGGGCGUAAAGGGUGCGUAGGUGGUGAGGUAAGUCGGAUGUGAAAUCUCCGGGCUCAACCCGGAAAUGGCAUUGGAAACUACCUUGCUUGAGGAUUUGAGGGGGGAUUGGAAUACUUGGUGUAGCAGUGAAAUGCGUAGAUAUCAAGUGGAACACCAGUGGCGAAGGCGGGUCUCUGGGCCGAUACUGACGCUGAGGAGCGAAAGCGUGGGGAGCGAACAGG